AUGGAGAAGCAACUGAGUGCCUGCUGGGUGGUUUUAUUGCUGUAUUUCCAGUGGGUUGCUGGGAAGACCCAAGUGGAGCAGAGUCCCCAGUCCCUGACUGUCCUGGAGGGAGAGAACUGCGUCCUCCAAUGCAAUUACACUGUGAGCCCCGCUGGCAACUUAAGGUGGUACCGACAAGACACAGGCAGAGGUCUUGUGUCCCUGGCAGUCAUGACUUACACAGAGAACAAAAAGUCAAAUGGAAGAUAUUCAGCAUCUCUGGAUGCAGAUGCUAAGCACAGCACCCUGCACAUCACAGCCUCCCAGCUCGAGGACACUGCCUCCUACAUCUGUGUGGUGGGAGCACCAUGCUCCACAGAUACUUGCAGCCAGUACCAAAACCUCUCCUGGAGGCUUCAAGGAGGCAGAGGUGACAGAACAGUCUUUUUAACACUGUACUAG